rnacentral:misc_RNA from 1 species
GAGAGAGAGAGAGAGAGAAUUUGAGAAAGCUUGAAGAGAGUUUGAGAGAGUCAAGAAAAUGAAAAAGAAAAGGAAGAAAAGAUCUUUGAUUUUGAGCAACCAGAUGGAGAAGGGUACAAGCCAUGCUUGGAUUUCAAUAUUGAAACCGAAAGGCAUCUGUAAGGAUUUCAAAGGAGAAAAAGGAGAUUCUUGGUAGUAGUAGUAGUGUCUGGAGGAGUGAACCAACAGAGAAAUCAAAUUGUUGAUGCCGUUGUUAUUGCCAGAAUUCUUGAAGCAGCUCUAGUUGUGCCUGUUUUGCAGAUUAAUCUGAUUUGGGGCAAUGAUAGUGAAUUUUCUGAUAUUUUGAAUGUCGAACAUUUCAAGAGGAUUU